UACGGAGGGAGCUAGCGUUGUUCGGAAUUACUGGGCGUAAAGCGCGCGUAGGCGGCUUUGUAAGUUAGAGGUGAAAGCCCGGGGCUCAACCCCGGAACAGCCUUUAAGACUGCAUCGCUAGAAUCCGGGAGAGGUGAGUGGAAUUCCGAGUGUAGAGGUGAAAUUCGUAGAUAUUCGGAAGAACACUAGUGGCGAAGGCGGCUCACUGGACCGGCAUUGACGCUGAGGUGCGAAAGCAUGGGGAGCGAACAGG
rnacentral:rRNA from 1 species